AGAGUUUGAUCCUGGCUCAGGAUGAACGCUAGCGGCAGGCCUAAUACAUGCAAGUCGGACGGGAUUCCAGUGUAGCUUGCUAUACUGGAUGAGAGUGGCGCACGGGUGCGUAACGCGUGAGCAACCUGCCCAUGUCAGGGGGAUAGCCCGUUGAAAGACGGAUUAAUACCGCAUAACACAUAAGUACCGCAUGGUUCUUAUGUCAAAUAUUUAUAGGACAUGGAUGGGCUCGCGUGGCAUUAGCUAGUUGGUAAGGUAACGGCUUACCAAGGCAAUGAUGCCUAGGGGCUCUGAGAGGAGUGACCCCCACACUGGUACUGAGACACGGACCAGACUCCUACGGGAGGCAGCAGUAGGGAAUAUUGGUCAAUGGGCGGGAGCCUGAACCAGCCAUGCCGCGUGCGGGAAGAAGGCCCUAUGGGUCGUAAACCGCUUUUAUACGGGAACAACCGCAUGUACGUGUACGUGCCUGAGUGUACCGUAGGAAUAAGGAUCGGCUAACUCCGUGCCAGCAGCCGCGGUAAUACGGAGGAUCCGAGCGUUAUCCGGAAUUAUUGGGUUUAAAGGGUGCGUAGGCGGCACUUUAAGUCAGGGGUGAAAUACAGCGGCUCAACCGUUGCAGUGCCCUUGAUACUGAAGUGCUUGAAUUCGGACGAAGGAGGCGGAACGGGACAAGUAGCGGUGAAAUGCAUAGAUAUGUCCCAGAACCCCGAUUGCGAAGGCAGCUUCCUAGGCCGAUAUUGACGCUGAUGCACGAAAGCGUGGGGAUCGAACAGGAUUAGAUACCCUGGUAGUCCACGCCCUAAACGAUGAUGACUCGAUGUUUGCGAUAUAUUGUAAGCGUCCAAGCGAAAGCGUUAAGUCAUCCACCUGGGGAGUACGAUCGCAAGAUUGAAACUCAAAGGAAUUGACGGGGGCCCGCACAAGCGGAGGAGCAUGUGGUUUAAUUCGAUGAUACGCGAGGAACCUUACCCGGGCUUGAAAGUUAGCGACGGUUGCAGAGACGCAACUUCCCUUCGGGGCGCGAAACUAGGUGCUGCAUGGCUGUCGUCAGCUCGUGCCGUGAGGUGUUGGGUUAAGUCCCGCAACGAGCGCAACCCCUAUGUUUAGUUGCCAGCACGUUAAGGUGGGGACUCUAAACAGACUGC
rnacentral:rRNA from 1 species